rnacentral:lncRNA from 10 species
CGCGCCCCAGGCGCACGACAAGCCCUGCGUCAGGAGGUUGAGCACAGACCAUGUGGACAGCAGUGUGGUUGGCAAGUCAUUUAACUUUUCCAAACAAAUCUGCAAAAUGGAGAUAACAGCACCUGCCUCAUUGCGUUGUGAAGAAGAUGAAAUGUUUAGCCCGGUGCCCAACACCCAGUUCUCACUCUGUCAUCCAGGCUGGUGUGCAGUGGUGCAAUGUGGGCUUACUGCAGCCUUGACCUCCAGGACAAGUGAUCUCCCACCUCAGCCUCCGGAAUAGCUGGGACUACAGCUCAACAACGCCCCUCUGAAAGUAGGACUCUUGGAAAUGAACCUUGUUGGGAGUAAAGCUGAACCUUCACCUCUCCUUUCCAGGAUUCUACUCCAUUCAUACGGCCUCACACUGAAUUAAUGUUUCUAGCAGCCACAUUACUUUGUUACCCAAUUGAUCUAGUAGUAAAGUCUUCCCAUCUCUUCAUGUACCACUGGUUUAUUGACUCUUAAUGUAGGAUUCUACAUUUGUUUGUUGUUUAUCUUGUUAGAUCCAGCCUGUUGUUACAAUCUUGUAGGAAGUUAACUGGAUCCUGAUUCUACAUAUAGCUGAUUGACAUUUUGGAGGGUUUUGCAAUAACCAUUUCCCUUCCUGACAGCAUCCUAACUUCCUUUGGGGGACCUGUGUCUGUUCCCAUGUGGGCAGUCUUGGCCAGAAUGCAGUCCUAGGGCCCCCUACAGAAGCUGAGGAGUCUGGAUCCUUCCUCUCACUUCCCCUUGUGAACUCGCUGGGAGCCUCCUUUGGAGAUGUUGAGAUUCCCUCCACAGGCUCAGAGCUGGCCCGGUUCCCUUCCUCAGUUUCUCCUGAGAAGGGCAGGUGUGUGAGUGCCUGACCUCCCAGUCCAUGCAGGGCCAUCUGGCUGCUUGCUGGCUGCCCUCUUUGGAACCAGGGGCCCCAAUCCCAUCGCGUUUCUAAACCACCAACCGGCAGGCAUUCUGAGAUUCCAAACAAAUGCAAGAGAGAUUAGGAUCCCUUUGGCUAGAGGCCAAGGUGAAAGCUGAUCCUGCGGAAAGAGGAGACUGGCUGGGGUGGAGGUGAAUGUAAGCGGGGAACACGAGGUGCGCAGGUGUGGACGGGGAGUAUCUCAGCUCCAGAUGGAGCUCCCAGCAUCCUUCUGCAGACUCUGGGACGGCGGGGAUAAAUGGAAGGUGACUCCAAGUAUACAAGGGAUGGUCAAUAUCUCCUGUUCACCAAGCACUUGGUCUGCCAAAAACUAUGCUACACACCAUUAUUCUUUUUAAGUCCUCAUGACAACCCUAGGUUUUAUGUUUUUCAUUAUACAGCUGGCAAGCUGAAGCUCAGAGAAGUUCAAUAACUUGUUAAAGGUCAUGCAGCAACUAAGGGGCCAAGCCACAGGCCUGACUUUAGAACUAGUGCUCUUUGUUUUGAGAUGGAAUCUUGCUUUUGUAUUUUUAGUAGAGGCAGGGUUUCGCCAUGUUGGCCAGGCUGGUCUCAAACUCUUGGCCUCAAGUGAUCAGCCUGCCUCGCCCUCCCAAAGUGCUAGGAUUACAGGCAUGAGUCACCACGCCUGGCCAGAACCAGUGCUCUUAAUAGUAAUGACACCCUCCUGCCCCUCUGGAAGAACCUGAGAGAGGAAAGUGGGGGAGAGGGAAACCCCAGGCCUUCCAGGCGGCCCCUACUGUGUUAGGAGUUAAUUGAGUCCAUGAAAAUAGGCCCUCCAGUUUGGAUCUCUGUUGACUUCAAACCAACAGAGCUGAAAGUUGUUGUGACUCCCCAAGGAAAGAGUGAGAAAGAAAAGGCAAAGAAGAUGGGGCUGGCAAUGAUGAAAUCUCCUGCUUAGACAAAGCCCAGGACAGUUGGUUGGCAUUUUCAUUCUGGCUGGUUGCUCUGGCAGGCAUGAGAAAAUAAACAAAAGGGAGAACAGGUGGGAGAAAGUGCAGGCUGGUGAACCUUCUCUGUGCUCUGCCCACUGUCCUGAACUCUGAGGGCACGGGGAGUUAUACUCUUUUACCAAACUGGCCAAAUUCAGCCUGAAGGGCUCCUGGAGUCUUAGCCUACUCAUUCUCAGAUUUUAGCUUCCACCAACACCAACUAAACAAACCUGAUCUUUUUAAAGAGGUUUUUUGUUUGUUUUUUGAGACAGAGUCUCUCACUUUCACCCAGGCUGGAGGGCAGUGGCACAAUCUCAGCUCACUGUAACCUCCGCCUCCUGAGUUCAAGCCGUUUUCCUGCCUCAGCCACCCGAGUAGCUGGGACUACAGGAAUGCACCACCAGGCCUGGCUGAUUUUUGUAUUUUUGGCAGAGAUGGGGUUUCACCAUGUUGGCCAGGCCGGUCUCAAACUCCUGACCUCAAGUGAUCUGCCUGCCUUGGCCUCCCAAAGUGCUGGGAUUACAGGCGUGAGCCACCACACCUGGCCAAGAGUUAUUUAUUUUUUUUGUGUGUGAAAUCUGAUGCCACUUUAAAAUCAGCAGAUCCUUACCCCAUUCCCUUUCACUCUCAAUUCCCACUUUCUGGAAGUAAUUAUUGUCAAGUCUUUCUGGUACUUCUGGUUAUUUCUUCUGGUAUUUAUCCUAUUUUCACAUCAGAUUUAUGCGGCUAAUGUUAAUUAUUUUCAGUUUUGGGGGUUAAUCUAUUGACUACUAUGAAGAUAAUAUGAAAAUGUAGUUCUUCUAUUACUUUCCAUAUUUUUCUGUAGUUUUUUGGUAUCAUUAUUCUGCAUUUACAAUACUAGAACUGUGAAACAAGUAUUCAAGCUGAUUCAAGAAGUGUGCUGUGAGGAUAAUAAUUCCCUCUCCAGACAUUGUUUCUCCUGCAGUAAGUACUGCUUGGUUUUUCAUUUGCUUAAUUUUCCAUGCAUCUAUCACUAAUUCAUUCCCCUUAAUCUUUCCUUAAAGUGAAAAACAAUUGAAAGAUUUAAUUUCCCAUUCAGAUAACAUUUUCAGAGAUUCACAGAAUUCUACAGAGACAACAAACAACAUGGUUUCUUCGACAGAUGAAUGUCUUGAAAAAAAAGGGAGGGAGGGAAAACUGUUACAUAAGAGAUUUAAGAGAUAUAGCAACCAAAUGCCACGUGGGGGCCUCGUUGGGAGCCUCAGUCAAAUAAAUCCACUGUGGAAAAGACAUUUUAAGACAAUUAGGGAAAUAUGAACACAGAUUGAGUCUUAGGACAUAUUAAGGUAUAAGCAUGUUUGCAUCGGGUGAAAUAAUGGCCUUGUGGGUUAUGUGUAAAAAAUUCCAUAUCUGUUAUGAUACCUACGACUUAUGUGUGAAAUGACAUACUUGUGAUUUACUUUGAAAAUAUCCAACUUCCCUGCUCCCUCCCCUCCCACAAAAAAGUGAUUUUGGGAGAUACAUUAAAAAAUUCUGGGCCAGGGGCAGUGGCUCACGCCUGUAGUCCCAGCACUUUGGGAGGCCAAGUCAGGUGAAUCACCUGAGGUCAGGAGUUCGAGACCAGCCUGGCCAACAUGGUGAAACCCCGUCUCUACUAAAAAUCCAAAAAUUAGCCAGAUGCAGUGGUGCACGCCUAUAAUCCCAGCUACUCGGGAGGCUGAGGCACGAGAAUCGCUUGAACCCGGGAGGCAGAGGUUGCAGUGAGCCAAGAUCGUGCCACUGCACGCCAGCCUGGGUGACAGAGCAAGAUUCUGUCUCAAAAAAAAAAAAAAAUUCUGGUAAAAUAGUGAUAAUUACUUUAUUAUUAUUUAUUUAUCGUUUUGAGACAGGGUCUCGCUCUGUCUUCCAGGCUGGAGUGCAGUGGUGCAAUGAUGGCUCACUGCAGCCUUGACCUCCUGGGCUCAAGCAAUCCUUCCACCUCAUCCUCCUCGGUAGCUGGGACUACAGGCAUGUGCCACCAUGCCUGGCUGAUUUUUUUUUUCAUUUUCUUGUGAGGCCUCACUAUGUUGCCUAAACUGGUCUCCAACUCCCAGGCUCAAGUGAUCCUCCCGCCUCACCCUCCCAAAGUACUUGGAAUGCAGGCAUGAGACAUUGUGCCUAACCUAUUUUACUGUUUUAGAGACAGGGUCUCAAUCUGUUGCCCAGGCUGGAGUGCAGUGGCACAGUCAUGGCUCACUGUAAUCUUCAACUUCUGGGCUCAAGCAACCACCCACCUGCCUCAGGCUCCUGAGUAGCUGGGACUACAGGCAUACGCCACCAUGCCCAGAUAACUUUAUUUUUUGUAGAGACAGGGUCUUGCUAUGUUGCCGGGCCAGUCUUGAACUCCUGGCCUCAAGCAAUCCUCCCACCUCAGCCUCCUAAAGUGCAAGGAUUACGGGCGUGAGCCACUGCACCUGGUCAGUACUUUAUUCUUUUUACUGCUGAAUAAUACGCCAUUGUAUGGCUAUACCAUAUUUCAUUUAUCCAUCUGUUAGCUGAUAGACAUUUGGGUUGUUUCCCACCUUGUGGCUACUAUGAAUAUUCAUGUAUACAUAAUUGUGUAGACAUGUUUUCUUUUUCUUCUUUCUUUUUUUUUUUUUUUUUUUGAGACAGAGUCUCGCUUUGUGGCCCAGUCGGUAGCCCAGGCUGGAGUGCAGUAGUGCGAUCUCAGCUCACUGCAACCUCUGGCUCUCAUGUUCAAGCAAUUCUCCUGCCUCAGCCUCCUGAGUAGCUGGGACUACAGGAGGCUCGAUCCACCUGCCUUGGUCUCCUAAAGUGCUGGAAUUACAGGCAUGAGCCAACGCACCUGAUCUGGACAUAUGUUUUCUUUUCUUUUUUUUUUGAGAUGGAGUCUCACCCUGUUGCCUAGACUGGAGUGCAAUGGCAUGAUCCUGGCUCACUGCAACCUCCACCUCCCAGGUUCAAGCGAUUCUCCUGCCUCAGCCUCCCGAGUAGCUGGGAUUACAGUGGCGCGCCAUCACGCCCAGCUAAUUUUUGUAUUUUUAGUAGAGACGGGGUUUCACCAUGUUGGUCAGGCUGGUCUCGAACUCCUGACCUCGUGAUCCGCCUGCCUCGGCCUCCCAAAGUGCUGGGAUUACCGGCAUGAGCCAUUAUGCCCGGCCAGUAUGUUUUCACUUCUCUUGGGUAUAUAUCUAUUUAGGAGUGGAACUGCUGAGUCAUAUGGAAAUUUUACAUUAAAACUUUUGAGGACCUGCCAGACUUUUCCAAAGUAGCCUUGUGACUGGUGGGGAGACUGAGGCCCAAAGAGGGAAACUGUCUUCUGCAAAGCAACACAGUGAGUGUGAGAAAGCAGGAGCUAAUCAUGGACAUGACUUCAAUGCUGCGCCUUCUCCUCUGACCGCAUUACCAUCUCACUCUCACUCCAGUGCUCUCCAUACCCACUUCUGCCCCUCCAUUCCAUUCCUUGCCCAGCAGCAAAUCCCUUCACACCAGUCCCUACAAAGGCUUCCUGCUGCCAUCAUCAGGAUGAAGUUCCGCCUCUGAGGGAUGACUUAUAAGCUCCUCUGCCAUCUGGCCCUAGUGCUGCCUCCUCAUCUUGUCUUCUGAAGCAGUUUUAUGCCUGGCAACACUCAAUUCACUAUUGGUUGAAUGAACAGAAAGAUCUGAAAAUAUCUAGCAUGGCCCUGAGCACACUGUAGAAAUCCUGCAAAUGUUUGCAGACCGCAAUUACUUCCAAGGACAGGGACAGCACCUCCUGUUGGGAACAUUCCAGAUGGUUUGGAUGAUUAAAGGUAAGAUAAGAUAUUUUUUGUCUGGUACCCAUGCCACUUCUUCAGGCAACAGCAUCCCAGUUUUCCUUUGGGGAAUCACUCUUAUUAUACCUUCAGUUCUUAUAGUUUAUGAGAAGCUAAGCAGUUCCUGGAAUUUGCAGUUGACUUAAGGCAGAUGAGUUAAGAUGCAACCCUAACUUUUCCUAGAUUUUUUAAAAAGGGGUGCUUUCUUUUCACUAGGAUUACUAAUCUCGUGCCUCUAUAAGAAAACUAACUGUCUAAGAAGCAGACUUGAGAAAGCAACUGAGUCCUGAUGAUAUCAUGAGAGGCCCUGGACCCAGCUGUGCCUGAAGCCAACCACCAGACAUUUUAGUUAUUGAGUCAAUUUCCAUUCCUUUUUAAUUGCUUGAGUUCAGCUUGUCACCUGCAACUGCAAUAUUCCUAAUCCAGUUAGUAACCCUCUUUCACAUACACACAUACCCAUCACACACCUUACAGACCAAACAGAGGAAUCGAGCUGACUUUUGUCCCUAAGCACGGGUUUACCUACUCACCUCAAAUCUAAAUUGUAUUUUUCUGAGUUGUGUUGUGCAGUUGACUGUCAAUAUUUAGCUUUCCUUGUACGGUACUUUCUAUACCAAGCUUGUCUGGCCUGUAGGCUGCAUGCCGCCCAGGACAGCUUGGUAUGGGGCCCAACACAAAUUCAUAAACUUUCUUAAAACAUUGUUUUUUGUUUGUUUUGUAGCUUAUCAGCUAUCGUCAGUGUUAGUGUAUUUUAUGUGUGGCCCAAGACAAUUCUUAUUCCAGUGUGGCCCAGGGAGGCCAAAGGAUUGGACACCCCUGUUCUAUUCCAUGAUCAGCAAGUAGACAUUUGCGGUGUCCUAAGUAGUAUCAGGUGAUAAGUCAAGGUGGAUGGAAGAGAUGCAAUUCUCAUUUAUAGCCUGGCCCAAAUUGAACUCCAAGAAACACACACAAUAAGCACUGCUCCCUAAGCCUGUGCGCUGUUCUGGAAAGAGCCUACUAAAACAACCUUGGCUUUUCUUUUUGACUCGCUGAUGCCAAGGACAGGUCUGUGCAUUUACUACCAGUACAAUGGGACAGGAAAGUCUCACACACAUUUUUUUAUUCUUUGAGAUGGAGUUUCACUCUUGUUGCCCAGGCUGGAGUGCAGUGGCACGAUCUCGGCUCACUGCAACCUCUGCCUCCCAGGUUCAAGUGGUUCUCCUGCCUCAGCCUCCCGAGUAACUGGGAUUACAGGUGCACACCACCAUGCCUGGCUAAUUUUUGUAUAUUUAGUAGAGACGGGGUCUCACCAUGUUGGCCAGGCUGGUCACACACAUUUUAACCACCCAUCUUUGCUACAAGGGAAAAAGGCCAAACCUUGUGUGGGUGAAGAGGCAGACUCAAAUGCUCCCGAUGCAGAGGAACGAGGCGGCUACCACUCAAUCACCAAUUACCAUUUGCAUGCUACCCAACCUGGACCUUUCCAGGGCAUACUGGACCACUCCCCACUUCCUUGGGGUGCAAUGAAUUGCAGACAGUUUAAUCCAUGGGCUUUUGCUGAUUCUGUUUUCUCUGCUUGGAAUGCCCUUCUACACAGAGGAAGUCUUUCAAGACCCAGGUCAAAGGUUAGCUCUCCUGUGAACACUUGUUCCUUUUCUAUCUGGUAUAAGCAGCCAUUUUAACUAUCGUUAAAGGUCAGGGUUUCUUAACUUGGGUCUGCGGGUCAUUAUGAAUAAGUUUUAGAGGGACAUGUCUGUAUCUAUGUCCACAUAUGUUACUCUGGAGGCCAGGGUCAGAGAUUCCAGAUUCUCAGAUUCGGUGACCUCAAAAAAAGGUCUCUUUUGGCCAGGCACAGUGGCUCAUGCCUGUAAUCCCAGCACUUUGGGAGGGUGAGGCAGGAGGAUGGCUUGAGCUCACAAGUUCAAGACCAGUCUGGGCAACAUAGCAAGGUAUCGUCUCUAAAAAAAUAAUAAAAAAUUUUAAAAAGCUCUUAGGUGUCUCUCUCUUGUGAGUUGAGGGCAAGGUUCACAUCUCUUUCGUCUUAGACUCCCCGCACUGAUCCAAGAUAGACAGUCAACUGCUGGC